rnacentral:rRNA from 1 species
AGAUUGAACGCUAGCGGGAUGCUUUACACAUGCAAGUCGAACGGCAGCGCGGACUUCGGUCUGGCGGCGAGUGGCGAACGGGUGAGUAAUAUAUCGGAACGUGCCCAGUAGCGGGGGAUAACUACGCGAAAGCGUGGCUAAUACCGCAUACGCCCGUACGGGGGAAAGGGGGGAUC